rnacentral:rRNA from 1 species
GAUGAACGCUGGCGGCGUGCCUAAUACAUGCAAGUCGAGCGAACGGACGAGAAGCUUGCUUUUCUGAUGUUAGCGGCGGACGGGUGAGUAACUCGUGGAUAACCUACCUAUAAGACUGGGAUAACUUCGGGAAACCGGAGCUAAUACCGGAUAAUAUUUUGAACCGCAUGGUUCAAAAGUGAAAGACGGUCUUGCUGUCACUUAUAGAUGGAUCCGCGCUGCAUUAGCUAGUUGGUAAGGUAACGGCUUACCAAGGCAACGAUGCAUAGCCGACCUGAGAGGGUGAUCCGCCACACUGGAACUGAGACACGGUCCAGACUCCUACGGGAGGCAGCAGUAGGGAAUCUUCCGCAAUGGGCGAAAGCCUGACGGAGCAACGCCGCGUGAGUGAUGAAGGUCUUCGGAUCGUAAAACUCUGUUAUUAGGGAAGAACAUAUGUGUAAGUAACUGUGCACAUCUUGACGGUACCUAAUCAGAAAGCCACGGCUAACUACGUG